rnacentral:rRNA from 1 species
AUGUUGUUAAAUAUUGCACAAAACUUGUUCAAAGGAGAGGAGAAGAGGACCAAGAAGGGGAAGAUCAAGAAAGGAAUGCCAUUUACCUUGCCUCAUUGCUAUGAAGUAUUGAAGGAUGAUGAGAAAUGGAAGAAGCGUGAGGAUAUUGAUGAUUUGGAUUUGAGCAAAAAACGCAAGCGAACAAUUAAUUUGGAAGAUGAUGAUGAUGAGGAUGCAUCAAGUGAAGAUGGCAAGAGAAGCCCCACACCAAACUCAGUUUCAUACUCGAAGCCAAAACGACCGGAUGGCACCAAGAAAGACGCAAAAGAAAAGAAGAAGAGGAAAGGAGAUGAUGAGCUCAAAAAUGCUAUGGAAGAAAUUGUCAGCACAAGAAAAGAAGCCAACGAGGUGAGGAAAAUGGCAAGGAACCAAGAUGCCACGACCGAGGAGAGGAGGUUGGCGGCCGAGGAGAGGAGGGUGGCGGCCGAGGAGAGGAAAGUGGCAUUGGAGGAGAGGAAGGUGGGCAUGGAGGAGCGAUCUAAAUUGUUGGGAUGGGAGAAGCACUUGUUCUUUUUGGACACAUCUUUGUUCAAUGAUGCGCAAAAGAAGUAUGUCAAUCUUGCCCGUGAAGAAGUCUUGAUCCAAAAAAGAGCCAUGAUUCACGCAAUGGGUGGCGGUGGCCUUGGCGGCAUGGGUGGCAUUGGUGCCAUGGGUGGCUUUGGAGCUACCAUGGAGACCAUGAGAGGCAUGGGUGGCUUCGGAGCACCUCCGGGCGGCUUGGACGGCAUGGGUGGCAUGGGUGGCAUGAGUUUUACGUCUCUCAUUUGGGGCAUGAGUGCACCUCCGGGCGCCGGUGUGCCACCUUCGCAUGAAGAUGCCGUUGAAGAUCUUGGCAACACCUUCCGAGCUUCACGUGAUGAGGAUGCGGCGCGCAACAAUGAAGAGGAGGAGGAAGAAUCGUCUUCAGAUGAGUCGGAGGAAGAUGAGGAUGAAGACGAGGACGAGGCUUGA